GACGAACGCUGGCGGCGUGCCUAAUACAUGCAAGUAGAACGCUGAAGGAGGAGCUUGCUCUUCUGGAUGAGUUGCGAACGGGUGAGUAACGCGUAGGUAACCUGCCUGGUAGCGGGGGAUAACUAUUGGAAACGAUAGCUAAUACCGCAUAACAGUAGAUGUUGCAUGACAUUUGCUUAAAAGGUGCAAUUGCACCACUACCAGAUGGACCUGCGUUGUAUUAGCUAGUUGGUGGGGUAACGGCUCACCAAGGCGACGAUACAUAGCCGACCUGAGAGGGUGAUCGGCCAAACUGGGACUGAGACACGGCCCAGACGCCUACGGGAGGCAGCAGUAGGGAAUCUUCGGCAAUGGACGGAAGGCUGACCGAGCAACGCCGCGUGAGUGAAGAAGGGUUUCGGAUCGGAAAGCUCUGUUGUAAGAGAAGAACGAGUGUGAGAGUGGAAAGUUCACACUGUGACGGUAUCUUACCAGAAAGGGACGGCUAACUACGUG
rnacentral:rRNA from 1 species